rnacentral:lncRNA from 1 species
AUCAAAUUACAAGUUUUAUGAUGUUCACAAAUCAUAAAAUCAAAUUGCAGCAACUAAUGUCUCAAAUAUAAAGGUCUUUACAAUGGGGUUUCAAUAAGAAUCAUAAACUAAUUCUAGUCUCCAACAUCAACAGGUAGCUUUAGUAAUUCCAGUCUCUUUUUCUCUUAUUCUCUCCAAUUCCUCUUUAUAAAUAUUUGCUUGUCCAUUCUCCAACCAUCUGCCAUUGCAGUUUCCAGCAAAGAUUAAUUUCAAG